AUUUUCGCCGGAAAACCGCGGACGGGUACGACAACGAAAUCAAGAAAACGCGUUUUUCUCCGGCACAUCGGACCGAUAAAUCCGCAACCACCGUGUAAAAAACGACGCAUCACUCGUUGCACGCAGCGCGUGGCCGGCGAAUUGUCCGCGGGAUGCAGUGAAUGAGAACCGCGAAUCGUAAACCGUUAAAUCGCGUUUUUAUUUUAAUACACGACUCGACGGAUCGUCAAGUGAAAGGCCGGAUUC